GUAGGGUGCGAGCGUUAAUCGGAAUUACUGGGCGUAAAGCGUGCGCAGGCGGUGAUGUAAGACAGAUGUGAAAUCCCCGGGCUCAACCUGGGACCUGCAUUUGUGACUGCAUUGCUAGAGUACGGUAGAGGGGGAUGGAAUUCCGCGUGUAGCAGUGAAAUGCGUAGAUAUGCGGAGGAACACCGAUGGCGAAGGCAAUCCCCUGGACCUGUACUGACGCUCAUGCACGAAAGCGUGGGGAGCAAAC
rnacentral:rRNA from 1 species